rnacentral:lncRNA from 1 species
AGAUUUCCUCUCUUCAUCGAUUCUUGCUUCUAGAAUAACGCCCUCUUGAACCUUCUUCUUCACAUUCAUCAGCUCUGAGUAUGUAGCUUGCAUGGCUUUAACUUUAUCGAUUAAAGUCGAUUCUAAUCGUAUAUUCGCUAUCUUCACAUGGGUCUCUAGAGUCUUUAACUCUAUCUUCAUCAUUUGUAAGUUAUACAAAAU